rnacentral:rRNA from 1 species
ACGGGUGCGUAACGCGUAUGCAAUCUACCUUUUACAGAGGGAUAGCCCAGAGAAAUUUGGAUUAAUACCUCAUAGCGUUAUCGAGUGGCAUCAUUUGAUAACUAAAGUUCCAACGGUAAAAGAUGAGCAUGCGUCCUAUUAGCUAGAUGGUAAGGUAACGGCUUACCAUGGCUACGAUAGGUAGGGGUCCUGAGAGGGAGAUCCCCCACACUGGUACUGAGACACGGACCAGACUCCUACGGGAGGCAGCAGUGAGGAAUAUUGGACAAUGGGCGCAAGCCUGAUCCAGCCAUGCCGCGUGCAGGAAGAAGCAUCUAUGGUGUGUAAACUGCUUUUGUACAGGAAGAAACAUCCCGACGUGUCGGGACUUGACGGUACUGUAAGAAUAAGGAUCGGCUAACUCCGUGCC